UACGUAGGGUGCAGGCGUUAAUCGGAAUUACUGGGCGUAAAGCGUGCGCAGGCGGUCUUUUAAGUCAGAUGUGAAAUCCCCGGGCUUAACCUGGGAACUGCGUUUGAAACUGGAAGGCUAGAGUGUGGCAGAGGGGGGUGGAAUUCCACGUGUAGCAGUGAAAUGCGUAGAGAUGUGGAGGAACACCGAUGGCGAAGGCAGCCCCCUGGGCUAACACUGACGCUCAUGCACGAAAGCGUGGGGAGCAAACGGG
rnacentral:rRNA from 1 species